UGGGGAAUUUUGGACAAUGGACGCAAGUCUGAUCCAGCCAUGCCGCGUGCGGGAAGAAGGCCUUCGGGUUGUAAACCGCUUUUGUCAGGGAAGAAACGAGUUUCUCUAAUACAGAGACUUAAUGACGGUACCUGAAGAAUAAGCACCGGCUAACUACGUGCCAGCAGCCGCGGUAAUACGUAGGGUGCGAGCGUUAAUCGGAAUUACUGGGCGUAAAGCGUGCGCAGGCGGUUAUGCAAGACAGAUGUGAAAUCCCCGGGCUCAACCUGGGAACUGCAUUUGUGACUGUAUAGCUAGAGUACGGUAGAGGGGGAUGGAAUUCCGCGUGUAGCAGUGAAAUGCGUAGAUAUGCGGAGGAACACCGAUGGCGAAGGCAAUCCCCUGGACCUGUACUGACGCUCAUGCACGAAAGCGAGGGGAGCAAACA
rnacentral:rRNA from 1 species